rnacentral:rRNA from 1 species
CAGUAGCCGCGGUAAUACAGAGGGUGCGAGCGUUAAUCGGAUUUACUGGGCGUAAAGCGUGCGUAGGCGGCUUCUUAAGUCGGAUGUGAAAUCCCUGAGCUUAACUUAGGAAUUGCAUUCGAUACUGGGAAGCUAGAGUAUGGGAGAGGAUGGUAGAAUUCCAGGUGUAGCGGUGAAAUGCGUAGAGAUCUGGAGGAAUACCGAUGGCGAAGGCAGCCAUCUGGCCUAAUACUGACGCUGAGGUACGAAAGCAUGGGGAGCAAACAGGAUUAGAUACCCCCGUAGUCCCUAUCUCUUAUAC